AAAUCAAAAAAAGGGAGUCCCCCAAAGAAAGAAAGCAAGCCCAGCCAGCAGCUCCUUCCUUCCUUCCUUAUCGCGUGCGUGAUGAUGAUGAGUUGGUGUCUCUGCAGCACCACUCAUGGCCAUGGUGGGGUCUCUUCCAUUGCUCUCGCUUAUGGUCUUCGCCGUAGACCAAGAAUAUCAUCGACUUUCCGGAUCCGCGCCACUUCUGACGGAGUAGAAUCCAAGGAUGAUGACGAACCUCUUCUUCCUGAUAACCCGCCGGUCUCCUCCUCAUCCUCUUCUUCUGCUCUCGGUAAAGACUUGAAAAAGGUAGUGAACAAGACUGCUGCAACCUUUGCCCCGCGGGCUUCCACCGCCAGUAAAAACCCAGCUGUCCCUGGAACUACUCUCUAUAAAGUUUUUGAGGUUCAAGCGUAUGCAUCUAUGUUCGUUGGAGGGGUCCUUUCUUUCAACCUCCUCUUUCCCUCCAACGAACCUGAUUUAUGGAGGCUCAUUGGGAUGUGGUCCAUUUGGAUGUUCACUAUCCCUUCUCUUCGAGCACGAGACUGUCCAAGUAAAGAGAAAGAGGCUCUUAACUACCUCUUUCUCAUCGUCCCCUUGCUCAAUGUUGCUAUACCCUUCUUUUACAAAUCCUUUGCUCUUGUCUGGUCUGCUGAUACUGUUGCCUUCUUUGCCAUGUACGCCUGGAAGCUUGGAUGGCUGGAAACAACAGAGUAGGGUGUACCUGUGUUGGGAUUCUUUGUCUUCUCUUCCUUUGAAUCAUUCUUCAUUUAGCUUCUCUGUCGAACGAAGCCUAUCGUGUCAGGAAGCGAGAGAGAAGGAGAGGCUCAACUUGUUUGGUUCUAGGCUAAGCCUUUUCUCAUCUUCUCCAGUGUACUCUUGAUAAAAGCAUCUGAUUUCUUAUUUAUAUCAUCUAGAAGGGGCCUCAGACGUCUAUGCGGCUGUGGUGGUGGUUUCCCUGCUUCAGGCUGGUUGAUUUGUUGCUUGGGGCUCGGCUCACCCAACAUGCUCUUCUUCCCCUUCUCAAGUAACCUCUUCUUAGGGCCGUUACUACCAUUAGCUAGUCUGAUUAUUGUCUCUUUCUCUGAUUCUUGUAUUGACGAGCCAGGGGAGUUGUUCUUGGAUUUGCCGUUAUCCUCCGAGUCUUCUAUUUGCUUGAAAUGAAUAGUGAUGUCAGUCCUUGAUCCCU